GACGAACGCUGGCGGCGUGCUUAACACAUGCAAGUCGAACGGAAAGGCCCUGCUUGCAGGGUACUCGAGUGGCGAACGGGUGAGUAACACGUGGGUGAUCUGCCCUGCACUUCGGGAUAAGCCUGGGAAACUGGGUCUAAUACCGGAUAGGAGCCAUUUUUAGUGUGAUGGUUGGAAAGUUUUUUCGGUGUAGGAUGAGCUCGCGGCCUAUCAGCUUGUUGGUGGGGUAAUGGCCUACCAAGGCGGCGACGGGUAGCCGGCCUGUGAGGGUGGACGGCCACCCUGGGACUGAGAUACGGCCCAGACUCCUACGGGAGGCAGCAGUGGGGAAUAUUGCACAAUGGGCGCAAGCCUGAUGCAGCGACGCCGCGUGGGGGAUGACGGCCUUCGGGUUGGAAACUCCUUUCGCUAGGGACGAAGCUUUUUGUGACGGUACCUAGAGAAGAAGCACCGGCUAACUACGUG
rnacentral:rRNA from 1 species